rnacentral:lncRNA from 1 species
AUCAUCUUUGAAGCUGCUUGCCUUGAAUUAUCCUCAAGAAAAAGGUUGAGUUUGAGUUCCCCAUUCACUCUGGUGGAAAGAACUGAUUUGGGUGUGAUCUCCUCCCUUUCAGGAUCAUUUACUGGUGUGUCCUAUUCAGGCAGUCCCAACCCUUUCAGCAUAAUAUCUAAAAGGAUGGGGAAGGAGUCAGGAAAUAAGGAUCUGAGAAGCUUGCACCAGCUCACCUGCAAUGAUGAAAGAGGCAAUACUCAACUGCAGAGACACAAUAAUAUGACUGUGAAAUACUGCAUAACAUAUCUAGAAUUAACUCUAGUAUCAUGACAUACCAAACCAAAAAGUGGUGAAAAAAGGGAUAAUCUAAUGAGGAAGCCCAUGAAGAAGUUAGUAUGAUUUAGUGGAAAGAGCCCUGAACAGGAAAAACAAAGUCCAGAUUUAAGUCCCAUGGUUACCAGGAACUGGCUACACAACCUAAGAAAAGUCAUUAUGCCAAUGAAUCAGUUGCUUCAUGCAAAACGGGAAAUAAAUAGCUGUCUUAUCUCA